rnacentral:rRNA from 2 species
GGACGAACGCUGGCGGCGUGCCUAAUACAUGCAAGUCGAACGAACUCUGGUAUUGAUUGGUGCUUGCAUCAUGAUUUACAUUUGAGUGAGUGGCGAACUGGUGAGUAACACGUGGGAAACCUGCCCAGAAGCGGGGGAUAACACCUGGAAACAGAUGCUAAUACCGCAUAACAACUUGGACCGCAUGGUCCGAGUUUGAAAGAUGGCUUCGGCUAUCACUUUUGGAUGGUCCCGCGGCGUAUUAGCUAGAUGGUGAGGUAACGGCUCACCAUGGCAAUGAUACGUAGCCGACCUGAGAGGGUAAUCGGCCACAUUGGGACUGAGACACGGCCCAAACUCCUACGGGAGGCAGCAGUAGGGAAUCUUCCACAAUGGACGAAAGUCUGAUGGAGCAACGCCGCGUGAGUGAAGAAGGGUUUCGGCUCGUAAAACUCUGUUGUUAAAGAAGAACAUAUCUGAGAGUAACUGUUCAGGUAUUGACGGUAUUUAACCAGAAAGCCACGGCUAACUACGUGCCAGCAGCCGCGGUAAUACGUAGGUGGCAAGCGUUGUCCGGAUUUAUUGGGCGUAAAGCGAGCGCAGGCGGUUUUUUAAGUCUGAUGUGAAAGCCUUCGGCUCAACCGAAGAAGUGCAUCGGAAACUGGGAAACUUGAGUGCAGAAGAGGACAGUGGAACUCCAUGUGUAGCGGUGAAAUGCGUAGAUAUAUGGAAGAACACCAGUGGCGAAGGCGGCUGUCUGGUCUGUAACUGACGCUGAGGCUCGAAAGUAUGGGUAGCAAACAGGAUUAGAUACCCUGGUAGUCCAUACCGUAAACGAUGAAUGCUAAGUGUUGGAGGGUUUCCGCCCUUCAGUGCUGCAGCUAACGCAUUAAGCAUUCCGCCUGGGGAGUACGGCCGCAAGGCUGAAACUCAAAGGAAUUGACGGGGGCCCGCACAAGCGGUGGAGCAUGUGGUUUAAUUCGAAGCUACGCGAAGAACCUUACCAGGUCUUGACAUACUAUGCAAAUCUAAGAGAUUAGACGUUCCCUUCGGGGACAUGGAUACAGGUGGUGCAUGGUUGUCGUCAGCUCGUGUCGUGAGAUGUUGGGUUAAGUCCCGCAACGAGCGCAACCCUUAUUAUCAGUUGCCAGCAUUAAGUUGGGCACUCUGGUGAGACUGCCGGUGACAAACCGGAGGAAGGUGGGGAUGACGUCAAAUCAUCAUGCCCCUUAUGACCUGGGCUACACACGUGCUACAAUGGAUGGUACAACGAGUUGCGAACUCGCGAGAGUAAGCUAAUCUCUUAAAGCCAUUCUCAGUUCGGAUUGUAGGCUGCAACUCGCCUACAUGAAGUCGGAAUCGCUAGUAAUCGCGGAUCAGCAUGCCGCGGUGAAUACGUUCCCGGGCCUUGUACACACCGCCCGUCACACCAUGAGAGUUUGUAACACCCAAAGUCGGUGGGGUAACCUUUUAGGAACCAGCCGCCUAAGGUGGGACAGAUGAUUA